UUGCUGCCUGCCUCGGUCGGGUUAGUUGUCACGGGGUAUUCAGGGUACCCCGGAAGGAGUCCUCACCUUCCAGGAACCCACAAUCACCCUACUCCUACAGCUGGUGUCUCUCCUUUCUCCCACAGGAUUCCCAGCUCCACCACCUGCCAGGACAUUGACCAGAGAUAUCCCACUACCCUCACCCUGAAAUCUACUCUUUGAUGCUCCCUCUUGAUUCCUUGCAGCUCAUUAUUCACAAUAGUCAAGAUGUGCAAACACCCCAAGUGUCCAU